UUACGGCUAUAAUCACGUUGAAACACAGGUCCCGUACGAUCACCGAAGUUAAGCAACGUCGAGCCUGGUUAGUACUUAGAGGGGUGACCGCUUGUGAUUAACAGGUGCUGUUA